rnacentral:rRNA from 1 species
AAUCAGCAUGUGUGUUAGUGGAAGCGUCUGGAAAGGCGCGCGAUACAGGGUGACAGCCCCGUACACAAAAGCGCAUGUGCUGUGAGCUCGAUGAGUAGGGCGGGACACGUGGUAUCCUGUCUGAAUAUGGGGGGACCAUCCUCCAAGGCUAAAUACUCCUGACUGACCGAUAGUGAACCAGUACCGUGAGGGAAAGGCGAAAAGAACCCCGGCGAGGGGAGUGAAAAAGAACCUGAAACCGUGUACGUACAAGCAGUGGGAGCACCCUUUGGGGUGUGACUGCGUACCUUUUGUAUAAUGGGUCAGCGACUUAUAUUCUGUAGCAAGGUUAACCGAAUAGGGGAGCCGGAGGGAAACCGAGUCUUAACCGGGCGUUAAGUUGCAGGGUAUAGACCCGAAACCCGGUGAUCUAGCCAUGGGCAGGUUGAAGGUUGGGUAACACUAACUGGAGGACCGAACCGACUAAUGUUGAAAAAUUAGCGGAUGACCUGUGGCUGGGGGUGAAAGGCCAAUCAAACCGGGAGAUAGCUGGUUCUCCCCGAAAGCUAUUUAGGUAGCGCCUCGUGAAUUCAUCUCCGGGGGUAGAGCACUGUUUCGGCUAGGGGGCCAUCCCGGCUUACCAACCCGAUGCAAACUGCGAAUACCGGAGAAUGUUAUCACGGGAGACACACGGCGGGUGCUAACGUCCGUCGUGAAGAGGGAAACAACCCAGACCGCCAGCUAAGGUCCCAAAGUCAUGGUUAAGUGGGAAACGAUGUGGGAAGGCCCAGACAGCCAGGAUGUUGGCUUAGAAGCAGCCAUCAUUUAAAGAAAGCGUAAUAGCUCACUGGUCGAGUCGGCCUGCGCGGAAGAUGUAACGGGGCUAAACCAUGCACCGAAGCUGCGGCAGCGACGCUGAUGCGUUGUUGGGUAGGGGAGCGUUCUGUAAGCCUGCGAAGGUGGCCUGUGAGGGUUGCUGGAGGUAUCAGAAGUGCGAAUGCUGACAUAAGUAACGAUAAAGCGGGUGAAAAGCCCGCUCGCCGGAAGACCAAGGGUUCCUGUCCAACGUUAAUCGGGGCAGGGUGAGUCGACCCCUAAGGCGAGGCCGAAAGGCGUAGUCGAUGGGAAACGGGUUAAUAUUCCCGUACUUGGUGUUACUGCGAAGGGGGGACGGAGAAGGCUAUGUUGGCCGGGCGACGGUUGUCCCGGUUUAAGCGUGUAGGUGUGUGUUCCAGGUAAAUCCGGUU